CUUCAUCAGAACCCCCAGUUAUCCUGUGGUUGCCCUGUGUCAUGGAGAUAUUGCAGAUUUGGAAUAGCAGGACCAGCACUUUCACACAUAAGAAUGAUUUGCAGGUGGUAUAUUUUGGGGUGGACCAAUUCUGAGCCCUUGAUCUGGACCUGGAUGGUAGCAGAGCUGGCAGGUGCACAGAAUGCUUUAGGGACUCUGAGGAGGAUUGUGGGUGAUAAAAUCACUGAAAUCUGCUAUUUCCCAGUUGAUUCCAAGACUCCAUGCCUGGACCAGGCACCAAAAGCCAAAGCCUUUAACUUUCAUAUGAAACCGGAAGCAGACCCUGAGCCCUACAUGAGACUGCAGUCCUGGCCAACAUAGUGACACCAUCUAGCAAGACAGAGACUAUGAGGUGAUGAAUACAUUAUCAACUGCUGUAUUUGUGGAAUGCUCUGGAACAGAGGGUCGAAAGGGCCAGUUUAUGUUUAGACACCAUGGUGCUGAUAUAGGUAUCUGGUAACAUGACUGACACUGGACAAACCAGAAGACUAAGUCAAAACAAAAUGGUUGACUCUGGAAACCCCAAAGCAAACAGAUAAAAUGUAUUAUGUU
rnacentral:lncRNA from 1 species